rnacentral:rRNA from 1 species
CGCCUUGCCAGCCCGCUCAGAAACUUAAAGGAAUUGACGGGGGCCCGCGACAAGCGGAGGAGCAUGUGGUUUAAUUCGAUGAUACGCGAGGAACCUUACCUGGGCUCGAACGUAAGAUGACUGUAGGUGAAAGCUUACAUCUCUUCGGAGCAUUUUACGAGGUGCUGCAUGGUUGUCGUCAGCUCGUGCCGUGAGGUGUCGGGUUAAGUCCCAUAACGAGCGCAACCCCUACCUUUAGUUGCCAUCAGGUUAAGCUGGGGACUCUAAAGGAACUGCCUACGCAAGUAGUGAGGAAGGCGGGGAUGACGUCAAAUCAGCACGGCCCUUACGUCCAGGGCUACACACGUGCUACAAUGGCCGAUACAGAGGGCAGCUACCUGGUGACAGGAUGCAAAUCUCCAAAGUCGGUCUCAGUUCGGAUCGGAGUCUGCAACCCGACUCCGUGAAGCUGGAAUCGCUAGUAAUCGCGCAUCAGCCAUGGCGCGGUGAAUACGUUCCCGGGCCUU